rnacentral:rRNA from 1 species
AGGUGUGGAUAGGGGAGAAAUUCCAAUCGAACCCGGAGAUAGCUGGUUCUCCUCGAAAUAGCUUUAGGGCUAGCCUCGAUACAGAUUUGCGGAGGUAGAGCACUGAAUUUCCUAGGGGGCGUCAAAGCCUACCGAAGAAUAUCAAACUCCGAAUGCCGCGUAAUCGAUUAUCGGGAGUCAGACUGCACGAGAUAAGUUGGGCGGUCAAAAGGGAAAGAGCCCAGACCUUCAGUUAAGGUCCCAAAGUGCGCGUUAAGUGGAAAAGGAUGUGGGAUUUCGAAGACAACCAGGAUGUUGGCUCAGAAGCAGCCAUCCAUUCAAAGAGUGCGUAAUAGCUCACUGGUCGAGAGGUCCUGCGCCGAAAAUGUCCGGGGCUGAAACGCGCCACCGAAACUAAGGAACCGAAAGGUUGGUAGAGGAGCAUUGCAUGCGGAACGAAGCAGUACCGAAAGGAGCUGUGGACUGCAUGGAAGAGAGAAUGCCGGAAUGAGUAGCGAGAUAGAGGUGGGAAUCCUCUAGGCCGAAUAUCCAAGGUUUCCAGAGUAAAGCUGAUCUGCUCUGGGUAAGUCGGGGCCUAAGGCGAGGACGAGAGUCGUAGCCGAUGGACAACAGGUGGAGAUUCCUGUACUGCGGUAUGACAGAACUGUGGGGACACGUAAGGAAAGCGGAAGCCGGGAAUGGAAAGCCCGGUGCAAGCGGGGUACCAGUCACUCUGGCAAAUCCGGGUGGCAAUGGGAAGCCGUGAUGCGGAGCGAAAUAAAGUAGUGAAGUCCGUGAGCCAUGCGUCAAGAAAAGCCGCUAUUGUUUAUACCGUACCCGUACCGUAAACCGACACAGGUGGAUGAGGAGAGAAUCCUAAGGCCGGCGGAAGAAGCAUUGUCAAGGAACUCGGCAAAAUGGCCCCGUAACUUAGGGAUAAGGGGUGCCUCAGAAAUGAGGCCGCAGAGAAUAGGCUCAAGCAACUGUUUAGCAAAAACACAGGUCUAUGCGAAACCGAAAGGUGAGGUAUAUGGGCUGACGCCUGCCCGGUGCUGGAAGGUUAAGAGGAGAGGUUAGCGCAAGCGAAGCUUUGAAUUUAAGCCCCAGUAAACGGCGGCCGUAACUAUAACGGUCCUAAGGUAGCGAAAUUCCUUGUCGGGUAAGUUCCGACCC